UUCGGUUGUCUUUCAAGGAGUUUGCUCGUGAUGAAAUGGCGACAUCAGGCUGCGUGAUGGAGUGUCAAAAUUGAGGGAAGCAAAUUGAAGUCAUCCUUCACCAUUUGACCGACUCAGAUUAAGUCUGAGGCCGGUAACAUCAACAGUGAGGACAAACGCAGGCCUCCUCUCUCCUUCCACACUGAGUCCAAACCUACAGUCACCGAGUCCUGAUUGUGACAGUGGAGCCCAGUUUGCACUGCAGGAUCCAGAGAUGGCAUCAGUGAAACUGGAAGACUGCAGUCAAACACUGGAGCUGAAUGUCAACAUUAAAGAUGAAGAAGAGGAGGAGAAGAUUCGGACAACUGUUAGUCAUGGAUACCACGUUGAGACAUUCUCUACACCCAGAGAGCAACAGCAGGAAGAUCAGAGAGCUAAGAGGUCUCAUCACUGCCCACAUUGUGAAGAGAUUUUCCCAUUUCUAUCAAAGCUAAAAAUACACCUAAAAAUACACACAGGAGAGAAGCAAUACUCCUGCUCUGACUGUGGAAAAUGCUUCACAACGUCAACUCAUCUAAAAGUUCAUCAGAGAACACACACAGGAGAGAAGCCUUUCUUCUGCUCUGACUGUGGGGCGAGUUUCUCUCAUCUGGGCACCUUAAAAACACACCAACGUAUACACACAGGAGAGAAGCCUUACGUCUGCUCGGACUGUGGAACUCGUUUCUCUCAACUUUCCCACUUAAAAUCACAUGAACGUAUACACACAGGAGAGAAGCCCUAUUUCUGCUCUGACUGUGGAAAAUGUUUUAAAACAUCAAAUGAGCUAAAAGUUCAUCAGAGAACACACACAUGAGAGAUGCCUGCUUACGUCUUCUCUGAUUAUUGGGUGAGUUUCUCUCACCAUAGCAACUUAACACACCAAUGUAGUCACACAGGGGAGAAGCCUUACUCUGUGGAGAGGUGGGCUUGUAAGUCAAACGUCUAGCCAAAUGCUGCGUGUUUGAAUCUCAUCAGGGAGGACUUUAGCAUUUUAACUAAUUAGCAACUUUGCAACUUCUUACUACUUUUUACCUAUGUCAGCAUGUUAACUUAGCAUUCAACUACUAAGCAUGUUAGCUACCCUUUCCCCUAAACCCAUUUAACUCCUUAAACCCCUCACCCCUAACCAAGCUAACGUUAGCAACAACAAAUUGGAAUUCGUAACAUAUCAUACAUAUUACAAGUUCGUAACAUAUUGUAUGAAUAGCAAUGCGUAAAAUAGCAUACGAAUUGUAAUUCUUAACAUACAAUACAUCCUACAAGUCGUAUUAUACUGAACAACAAUCUAAACGCAACAAUUUCAAAGAUUUACAGUAUGUAUAAGGAAAUCAGUCAAUUGAAAUAAAUGAGGCCCCAAUCUAUGGAUUUCACAUGACUGGGCAGGGGCUCAGGCAUAGGCCCACUUGGGAGCCAGGCCCAGCCAAUCAGCAUGAGUUUAUCCCCACAAAAGGUCUUUAUUACAGACAGAAAUAUUACUCAGCCCCCUCCCAGACAAUCCUGCAGGUGAAGAGGUACUGGGCUGCCUUGGUUACAUGUGAUCUGCAGUUGUGAGGCCGGUUGGAUGUCCUGCCAAAUUCCCUAAAAGGAUGUUAGAGGUGGCUAAUGGUAGAGAUAUAAAUAGUUCUCUGGCAACAACUCUGGUGGACAUUCCUGCAGUCAUCAUGACAAUUGCACAUACCCUGAACUUGAGACAUCUGUGACAUUGUGUUGUGUGGCCUUUUAUUGUCCCCCAGCACAAGGUGCACUUGUGUAAUGAUAAUGCUGUUUUAUCAGCAUAUUGAUAUGCCACACCUGUCAGGUGGAUGGAUUAUUUUGACAAAGGCUGAAAUGCUCAUGAACAGGGAUGUAAACAAAGUUGUGCACAACAUUUGAGAGACGUUAGCUGACGUUGAUGGAUUGCUGGAUUUUUUUUUUUCAUCUCAUGAAACCAACACUUUAUGUUUAGUUUAUAUUUUAGUUCAGUUUAUCAGGUAAACAAAGGUUCAAUAACAUACUAAAUGGAUGGGUGUUUUUGUAUAAUAGAAUACGUUUUGCUCUGAGACCAGGUUGUCCCUCUGCAGUAUUCUGUGGGAAGGAGCUAUUUUACAAUUUUUUAAAUGUAUUUAUUGAACCUUUGUUUAACUAGGCAAGUCAGUUAAGAACAAAUUCUUAUUUACAAUGAUGGCCUAGGAACAGUGGGUUAACUGCCUUGUUCAGGGUCAGAACAACAGAUUUUUACCUUGUCAGCUCGGAAUUCGAUCUAGUAACCUUUUGUUUUCUGGCUCAAUGCUCUAACCACUGUGGGAGAAAGAUGUACAUAUAUGAAGGAACAUAAUACUGUAACACAAGAGAAAGAUGCACGUAUAGAGUGCAUUUGCCAUUCUGGUAAAAUGCAUUGUCUAUUGUAUAGGACAGGAGGCCAGAGUAAGGCCAUGAGAGUACAGCUGAACAUUAAACAGACCACACGAAGGGAAGGCGACACAUAGGCGCCUAGGGCAACUGGACACACUAAAAAUAGAGGAGACACACAGUCUGCUGAUCCAAGAUAAAGACACACAUACAAAGGAACACAUUGAGCUAAAUACAGGGCCCAAGCAUAGGCCUGUAGAAUAGAGGAAUGUAUAGUAUUUUUAGUAUAGCUGGACACGCUAAAAACAGAGGAGACACAUAGUCUGCUGAUCCUAGAUAACACACGUACAAAAUAACGCAUUAAGCUAAGUGCAUGGACAAAGCAAGGGUCUUGUCACCAUUAUUAUCUGACGGAAAGCAUAUUUGGGCGUGAACAAGCAGGAUGCACAGAUUGGGAUGUAUGUAUUUGCAUGUGGGAUGGACUCAUAUGUUGUAUGUGUAUAAAUCAGAGCGAGUGCUCUGAAAAAGGUGUGUGUUCCGCGGACCACUCCGGCUUGCAAUACGUUGUAUGAAAAGCCUAUUGAUUUCACAAGUUCUUGCAAGUGUCAUAUUUGAACCGAUUUUCCACGACACCACUAGGCUAUCACUUUUCACCAUUAGUUUGGGGGGGAUUGUUUUACAACUUAAUUUAAUGAUACACAGCUUCUGAAAUGAAUACAUGUGCUUAUUAAUUGUCUUUAAAACUAGAUACGUUUAUUUUAGUUACUGAUCAUGAAUGUGUUUGGAUAACUGCAUUGAAGCAAACUUUAUUGAUCUGCCAAUGAAAAAUAAAGUUACAUGAAUAUGUA